AGCACCUCAUUUCCCAUUGUUUCUCUUAAGUUGAUCGGUUACAGGGAGACACCAUGGUUACAUGACUUUUCCACCCAGGAGCCACCCUUCUUGGGUCACUAUUAAGACCAGUUUUUGCCCUCCUCCAUCACCCCUCCAAACUAUCCUCAACCUUUUAUAAAUAACACCAUGUAUUUACCUCUAAAUUGCACAACACCUCUACUCAUUCAACACUCAAAACUCAUUCAGAAUCUGUGCUUAUCACUAUUUUGAAGCAGCAAGAACAGCCUGGUACUCAUUACAAUUCAUCACUCAACACCACCACAAUGCUCACGGGUCCUCAGCCAGUUAGGGUCAUCUUUUGUUGAUCACCAUUACGGUUUCGGGUUCUAUUCUUAAUAUCACAUUUAACUCUCUACGCGUUUUCGGUCGCCAUAUUCCAGGAGCUCUUUUCGUCUCAGAAUCACUCCUACAUUCUCUCCACCCCCGUUGCUGACACAUCUAACUCGGAUUACUUCUUUUGCCCUCAUUGUUAAGGUAACUAGUGUUAUGGAAUUUCAUGGAGCGGAGUAGGAGUCUCAAGUAUUCAAGAGUCAUGUACUAGAUAAUAAAUAAGAACUCUUAUGUAUUUCUUAGCUACUUUACUGUAAGGUUAUGUCUUGAAACGUUGGUAUUAAUGAAU